AUACUGCAAAGGAUGCAGAUGGACCUAAGUUAAGUGAGAAUGAAAAGUUUAAAAUAGGCGAGCAGUUUUCAUUUCAGAAUCAUGCUAGGCUAAAUUUCCAAAAAAGAACAAGAACCAACUGAAGACUCCCUGUAAAGAGACAUCAACCUCACAAUGAGUCUCUUCACUGGUUUUGGCAAGUCUUUCCCUGCUCUUUGUG